CCUACGGAGGGCAGCAGUGGGGAAUAUUGGACAAUGGGGGCAACCCUGAUCCAGCCAUGCCGCGUGUGUGAAGAAGGCCCUCGGGUUGUAAAGCACUUUCAGUGAGGAAGAACGCCUGGUGGUUAAUACCCAUCAGGAAAGACAUCACUCACAGAAGAAGCACCGGCUAACUCCGUGCCAGCAGCCGCGGUAAUACGGAGGGUGCGAGCGUUAAUCGGAAUUACUGGGCGUAAAGCGCGCGUAGGUGGCUUGAUAAGCCGGUUGUGAAAGCCCCGGGCUCAACCUGGGAACGGCAUCCGGAACUGUCAAGCUAGAGUGCAGGAGAGGAAGGUAGAAUUCCCGGUGUAGCGGUGAAAUGCGUAGAGAUCGGGAGGAAUACCAGUGGCGAAGGCGGCCUUCUGGACUGACACUGACACUGAGGUGCGAAAGCGUGGGUAGCAAACAGGAUUAGAUACCCCUGUAGUC
rnacentral:rRNA from 1 species